GUGCUUGCAUCAGCAGCACAUAUACUAAAAUUGGAAUGAUACAGAGAAGAUUAGCAUGGCUCCAGUGCAAGGAUAACACUCAAAUUCGUGAAGUGUUCCAUAUUUUU
rnacentral:snRNA from 1 species